rnacentral:rRNA from 1 species
CGGGUAGAGUAACACGUGGGCAACCUGCCCAAAAGAGGGGGAUAACACUUGGAAACAGGUGCUAAUACCGCAUAACCAUAGUUACCGCAUGGUAGCUAUGUAAAAGGUGGCUAUGCUACCGCUUUUGGAUGGGCCCGCGGCGCAUUAGCUAGUUGGUGGGGUAAAGGCUUACCAAGGCAAUGAUGCGUAGCCGAACUGAGAGGUUGAUCGGCCACAUUGGGACUGAGACACGGCCCAAACUCCUACGGGAGGCAGCAG